rnacentral:rRNA from 1 species
UACGUAGGGGGCGAGCGUUGUCCGGAAUGAUUGGGCGUAAAGGGCGCGUAGGCGGCCCGGUAAGUCUGGAGUGAAAGUCCUGUUUUUAAGAUGGGAAUUGCUUUGGAUACUGUCGGGCUUGAGUGCAGGAGAGGUAAGUGGAAUUCCCAGUGUAGCGGUGAAAUGCGUAGAGAUUGGGAGGAACACCAGUGGCGAAGGCGACUUACUGGACUGUAACUGACGCUGAGGCGCGAAGGUGUGGGGAGCAAACAGGAUUAGAUACCCUGGUAGUCCACACUGUAAACGAUGAAUGCUAGGUGUAAGAGGUAUCGACCCCUUUUGUGCCGGAGUCAUCACAAUAAGCAUUCCGCCUGGGGAGUACGGCCGCAAGGUUGAAACUCAAAGGAAUUGACGGGG